UAUUAAAUGAAGUUUGGAAUGAUGAAGAAUUUUUCAAAAGGGAGCAAGAGUUUAGUCAUCAGAGUCAAUAGUAAAUACAAGUUCCUGGGAGAGGAAGGCCAUAGUUCAUCUGGGGAUCUACUGGUUGGUGUUGCUAGACCAACAUAGGGGAGUACAGAACCAAGAUAAUGUGAUGAGAGGUUAAAAAUGAAGAUUCAAUCAACUGUGGCUGAAAUCUCUGGCUCCACCGUCACUAGCAGAAAUGCUACACUUAGAAUUUCAUGGGAAGGAGGCAUUGCUUCAUGGGAGGAAGUAGUGAGGAAUAUGGAAACACCUGAUCUCUCUGCCUUCCAACUUCAAAUGUGUGCCUUCAAGACAUCUAAGAAGCUGACACCAAGUCAAGACAAGAAGAUGAAGGCCAAAAAAAUAAAAUAGGAGAAGAGACUGAAGAAGGUAUACAGGUAUUUUUCUGCUCAUUGUGUGGGUCCAACUCUGUAAAAGGAACAAUGGUUGUAAAGAAAAAAGGCCAUAGGUAUUAGUGAGUGUCUAAGAAACUUUUGGAAAAAACUCUUGAGGCAUCCUCAAGGCAAAGCGGUGAAACAGGAGAGCCCCACAACUUCCACUAUGGUAUCUGCCUUAGGAUCCUUGCAGUACUCAGUCCAGCUGGUAAGGGUGUGGCUAUCAGAAUGAUGGAUUUCUAGGCACAGCAUCUGGUGCUGUCAAUGAAUUGCAUUCCCAGUAGUUAAGGGUCUGAAAAGGACAUUCUCAUGGCUGCCACAGUGUUCUUGUCAGAGUCAACUCUCACCUUCUAACCACACCCUCUACACACAAUCUGUCACUGAAGACGUUUUCCCCAGGAUCAUCACUCUUUAUUUUCAGUUAGAACUUUCUCAGCUCUUUCUUAACCAUUUGGAUACACAUAGAGAGCCUUCAAACACUCUGGACUCUAAUCUCCUUGACAAAUGAAGACUUCUUCUUGUCUUAAACAACUAAUUUCAGCUUCCCAUUGCUGAAGUCACAUCACCUGGAACUUCUCCGUUAGCAAACCUUACUUCCCUGCUUCCUACAUUCUGACUUCCUGUCAAUAGGCUUUCUCUGGUGCUCUUACUUAGUCCACUUAUGCUCCCCAAGUCCUAUUGCUGUGCCAACACUUCACCACACCACAUGUCCUCCAUUCCCUCCCUCUCCACGUUUGCACUGAGAGUAUGUAUUCCCAUAAGCACUCCUUGCACACAUUGUCCUCUUCUUGUGUGUUCUCUCAACACCAUUAUUUUGCUUGCCCUUGAUAAGCAUGUUUAGCCUUGUUUAAUUCCAGCUUCCCACCUCUUCCUUCCAAGCUCCUAAGCAGCUAAAAGUGGCUGCUGGAAAACACUCAACUGUCACUGACUGGCCUCACUUGAAAUUUAUGAUAACAGACCUCAAGUGGUACAUCAGU
rnacentral:lncRNA from 1 species